AAGUUUCUACUUUCGGUUUAGAACUUUGUCAUGGCCAGCUCUUCGUUGCCAGAGAAAAAUCAUCAAACAGAUAUAACAACGACAUGUCCGAUCUGCUUCGAAUCUUUCAAAACGCCAAGGAUUCUGCCAUGUCUGCAUACGUUUUGUCACAACUGUUUAUCCUCAUAUAUUCUAUCCACGUGCAAAUCAAAGGAGAACCCGGUGGGAUUUCCUUGUCCACUUUGCAGACGUUUUAUUCCUGCCCCAUCUUUUUCUGGCGAAAUCGAGAAAUGGACGGAACUUAUUCCCAUCAAUUAUAUAUUUGAGACUUUGAGUGACAAAGGAGAGAAAUUCUGCGAUGCCUGUUUACGAGCAGACGAGGAGAUAGUGGCAAGUGAUUGGUGUGAAUCUUGCUGUGAAUUGCUCUGUGCUAUAUGCGCGAAAUCUCAUAAAAGAAGUGCAGCUUCUAAAAGUCAUAGAUUAAAUCCUAUUGCAACUAUCAAUACAGAAAGUCUUGACAAAAUUCUUAGAUCUGCCGUGGUCCUUUGUCAGGAUCACAGUAACAAAGUAGAAUAUCUCUGUGUUGACCACGAGGAGUUAUGCUGCACAAAGUGCGUGUGCAAAAAACACAGAAAAUGCACACAGAUUGACGAUAUUGAGGAGGCUGCAGAAAGUUUACGAAAGUCAGCGAAACUACAAAGUUUAUCAAAAGAAAUAUCUCAAUAUGAUGAAACACUUGUUAAAGCGAACUCUGAGGGACAAGACACCGUUAAAUACUUAGAUGAUACAUCAGAUAAAAUAAAGCAAGAGUCCACAGAGUUGAGGGACAAGAUUGUGAACCAUAUUGAUACAUUGCUAGAGGAUCAUUUAUCGGAGCUGGCUCAUAGUGUCAAGCUUAACAAGGACAAGGUUGGAAAGUUUGUUGAUGACGUCUCCGACCGCCAUUUUCUGAUGACUCAGUACUUACAAACUUUAAGAGAUACAGAACAAUCAACUCCGUCAAUUCUUGUACGUGAUUACGUCAAGAUAAAACGACAAUUAAAACACAUUAAGAGAUCGAAUCCCUCCAAAUUGAGAAUAAAUUUACACUCCGAUGUUUACCAAAACUUAACAAGAAUUCUUCAAGUUCAAAAGUUUUCAGAAAUCCAGACAAAGUUUCAUUUGGUUCCUUUGUAUGGCACUGAGUUAGCUAAUGCCACUAUGGAACUGAUUUGUGAACUGAACGGCUCAGAGGGUGAUGUUUCCGGUGGUUGCUUUCUAGAAAAUGGAGACAUAGUUUUAGCUCACCAAAGCUCCAAUCGAAUAUUACAAUUUACCAAUUCCAAGCUGACACGGGAAAUAGGAGUAUGGAAACCAAUAGACGUGGCUUGUCUGAGUCCUUCUGUACUUCUUAUUUCCAAAAAAAAAUUUUUAUUCGCCAAGGGAUAUGUCGUAAAGUUUGACCUGGACAUGUUUGAAUUUACAGAAGAACGUAAUUUUUUUGAGACCGAUGAUGUGAAUAGUUUGGCAAUUUCGCCAGGAUUUGUAUAUGUUGCUUGUUCAAAUUUUAUCGUGAGGUUUAGUUCUGAGGAUAAAACUGCUAAAAUGUUUACAGUUGAUAAUUUAACUUUCUCUGUAGCAAUAAACAAGUCAAAUGAAAUAAUUAGCUCUAACUGUAGUACGCACAAGGUUACUGUCAUGGAUGAUUCUGGAGAGAAGUUGCAUUCGUAUUCUAACGCAAAACUUAAAUAUCCGUAUGGACUUGAUGUUAACUUCUGUGGGAACAUAUUUGUUGUGGGACAGAAUAGCAAAAACAUUCACGUUUUGACACCUAAGGCUGAAUUAUUGAAGAUUUUUGAAGUUGAGUCACCGAGGUGCAUUAAAUUUAAAGAAAACUCCAACAUUUGUUUUGUGGGAUCUGAGGAGGGUACAACAAAGGUGUAUGAGUUUCGAUAAGAUAUUUAAAAUAUUUUUGUGAAUUACUCUAUGUUUGUCUAUCAGUCGAUCCAUUUAGAAAUUAUUUAUUGCAGAGAUAGAAAAAUAGUAUCAUGGUUUUAGCAAGUUAAUUACUGCUCUUAACAAUCAUUGAUUUUACGAAUAAUAACCAAGUACAAAAUUCUUCAUCGAAAAUGCAACCACAAAAUAUUCAACAAAAUCCUUUUCUUUUCAUUUUUUAAUUUUGUGGGUACUUAAUAUAAAUGUCUGUAAGAAAUUUUUAAAACAAAGUUUCUAACACCUUAUGCGUCACAUUCGGGAUUUGUGUAUGUUUCCUGUUCUGUAUGAUAAAGUUUGAUUUAAAAUAAAACUUUUUUAUCUAG
rnacentral:sRNA from 1 species